GGCGGCGUGCUUAACACAUGCAAGUCGAACGGACAUGUCUUUCGGGAUAUGUUAGUGGCAGACGGGUGCGUAACACGUAGGUGACCUGCCCUGGAGUGGGGAAUAACUAUCCUAACGGAUAGCUAAUACCGCAUAUGCUCGGUGAUUCAUUUCGCCGAGUAAAGUCGAAAGGCGCUUCAGGAUGGGCCUGCGGCGGAUUAGGUAGUUGGUGGGGUAAUGGCCUACCAAGCCGAUGAUCCGUAGGGGGCGUGAGAGCGUGGCCCCCCACACUGGCACUGAGAUACGGGCCAGACUCCUACGGGAGGCAGCAGUGAGGAAUAUUGCGCAAUGGGCGAAAGCCUGACGCAGCAACGCCGCGUGAGGGACGAAGGCCUUCGGGUCGUAAACCUCUUUUCUGGGGAAAGAGCAAGGACGGUACCUCAGGAAUAAGUCUCGGCUAACUACGUGCCAGCAGCCGCGGUAAAACGUAGGAGGCGAGCGUUAUCCGGAUUUACUGGGCGUAAAGCGCACGCAGGCGGCUUCGUUAGUCGGGUGUGAAAGCUCCUAGCUUAACUGGGAGAGGCCACUCGAUACUGCGAGGCUUGAGGUUGGGAGAGGGGUGUGGAAUUCCCGGUGUAGUGGUGGAAUGCGUAGAUAUCGGGAGGAACACCUGUGGCGAAAGCGGCACCCUGGCCCACACCUGACGCUGAGGUGCGAAAGCGUGGGGAGUAAACAGGAUUAGAUACCCUGGUAAUCCACGCUGUAAACGAUGUCAACUGGGUGUCGGUAGCUUUACGCUAUCGGUGCCGAAGCAAACGCGUUAAGUUGACCGCCUGGGGACUACGGCCGCAAGGCUAAACUCAAAGGGAAUUGACGGGGGCCCGC
rnacentral:rRNA from 1 species